rnacentral:rRNA from 1 species
UGGUGGAGUGAUCUGUCUGGUUGAUUCCGUUAACGAACGAGACCUCAGCCUGCUAAAUAGUUGCAUUAAUGCUUUGCAUUGAUCGCAACUUCUUAGAGGGACUUUGGGUGUCGAGCCCAAGGAAGUUUGAGGCAAUAACA